AAAAAAGCGAUGUUUUCGAAAAAGCGUUGGAGAUUUCGAAAUAUUUUUCAAAUAAAGUACGGUUUGUUGAAAUAUAAACGGCCGCGUCUCUUGAGGUAUUACACCGCACUACGGUAAAUCGUUUUAACUAACUGUAAAAACGAUUUUCGGCGGGAGGGGUAAUUCGUCUUUGUAAAACUCAUAUCGCGUAGGUAUACGUUAUACUCAGAAUCUAAAUAUUAAAAAAAUCGGUAAAAUAGUAUCGCUAUAUAUUGGAAAUAAAAAAUCGCAAUAAUAAUAAUCGUAUCUCGAAGAUUGGCAUAAUUAUACGUUAUUGUUUGAAAAUAUAUCAAUAUCAAAAUAUAAUGGAUGACGAAAUAUUUAUUUCGAGUUACUUCAACUAUACGCGCCUGUAGUAAUAAUAAUAAUAAUAAAACGAGUUUGAUAAAAAAAAAAAAAAAAAAAAAAAACCGUCAUCGUUUCGCGACUAAGUAACGUAUCAGUAUAAAUACAUGCGAGUGAGUGAUGUACCCAAUAUAAUAUUGCGCACGCCUAAUAAUUGUAUAAUAAAACGAUAAUUGCAAUCGCUGGAGGACUGAUAUCCCAGUGCCGAAGGGGGGCGGACGGAAUUCCAAAUCCACCUAGGGGUAAUAUCUAUUAAGUCAUAUAGGUAAUAAUAUAAUAUGUAUAUUGAUGACGAAACCCUGGAGGGAGUUAGGUGGGGGUGGUCGGACUAUCUAUCGAUCCAACCUCCGGAUAUCCACCACCGAUUGUCACUGUAUAAUUUAGUACGUGUACUAUUAUGCGUGAAAUAAUUUAUACGUACUUUUUUUGGAAAAUCGUUUUUCGAAAAGCCGCGGUCCUCGAUUUCGGAACGAGCGAUAUUUUUCUCACCGGCGAACGUGCGAAGUACGUAUUUCUCGUGCAGCGGUUUUUCGACCCGUCGAUUUUCUGACGGUUUUUAUCGAGCCGAACUGAAAACAAACAAAUUAAUAUAAUACGUUAUAAUAUAGUAAAUUGUAUUUUAUUUGUGUAAAGUUAAAAUUAAUUUCGUAUUUUUUUUUUUUUUUUUAUUUAACAACACGGAAAAGACGACUAGAACAAGUUUACGACAAGUCAUUGUAAUAAUGCAGAUUUAAUAGGUACAUCGCUUUAUUUUAAACAUUAUUUUCGCAUAACAUCUGUAACAAAUAAAAGUAGGCAAAUUUUCACUUGAUAAACGCGACAGUUAUUUCUUAAUUAAUUAUCAAACAUUUUUAUCAAAAAUACUGAUAUUUUAUUGACGUGUGUUAUAGCUGUUACAGGAGGAAAGUUUUAAAGUUUUGGGAGGCCAUUAUUACCGAGAGUAAUUUAAUUUCUACCUGUACGCGACCGUUGCUAUGACGGAAAACGAUUCUGCGCAGAAUACGACUAAUAACAAUUAGUCGUGUAAUGUAUUUUUUUUGUUUCCAAGGUAAACCCAGAAAUCAACAAAAAUUGUUGUCAACGGUUGCUUGCAGUUUUCCCGAUUUAUAUAGGAAAACGACAAAUAACCAACAAAACAUUAAAUAAACAAAUAAACUGAAUUCACCAUAUCGAAAAUGCUAUAGCGUUUCAAGAAAGUCGCUACACAAAAUUUUCGAUCGGAGCAAAAUUCCUGGUAGAAAAGUUGUUUACAAAAUUGAAAAAACAAAUCGUACAGCGAAACCAAUACAUUCCUCGCUUCAUUCAUAAUCUGAAGUUGAACUAGCGUUGAGUAAUUGAUUAUAAUAUUUAUGGUCGAUUCAUAUAAUACCAAGAAUAUAUUGCAUUUUAAUUUUAAUUUUACAUUUGCGCUGAAAUAGAAAACACAUUUUUGAUAUUAUUAUCUGCAUUCUGCAGGUGUUCUAAAACAAGGUUUGAUAAACAUAAUUACGUACGCAAAUUUCGAAAUAAAAUAAAUAGAAAAAUGUAAUUUAUUUUGUUUUUUUAAUUUUUUUUUUUUAACAUUAAUUUGCCCGGCGCUUGUGCAUCAGCUCUCUGAUAUGAGAAACCGAAAUGGCGCUCCUGCGGGCAUUUCACUACGUAUACGAAAAAUAAGGAACUGAAUAGAAAAAAAAAAAAAAAUCGAUAUUAAUAUUUAUUAUAUUACGCGCACAUCCCAUUAUUAUUAUUCCCAUUUGAUUUUACGCCGCCGCAGCCGCGAUUGUGUAUUAUUCCAAGUUCCAGGGUCAACCGCAUCCGAAUGUCGUAAAAACUCGAAACCGACGUGUAAAAAUAACAAUACAUACAAAACGGCACAUAUGCGACAAAUUAUUACAACGAUAAAAUAAAAUAUUUUUUUAGUGCGUAUGGUAUGGAAAUAAAAAAAAAUACUGAAAUAUGCUUGUAAGCUUACACAGUAUUAUGUAUACCUACGCGCAUAGGUACGUUCUGAGUAAAAUAUUGAAACAUGUACACAAUACAUAAUUUGGUACAUUUUCGUUGUGGAAGUGUCAACGUGGAUCGCGAAAAUUCACGUUUACAUUAUUGUGAUGACCGUUUACGCGUACAUAAUACAGACACAGCAAUGUAUCCGAUUGAUAUUAUAAACGCGCGAGUCCGUUUCGGACGGGUGUUUGGCGUCUCUUCGCGGCGAAACCGCCGAACGGAUUGAGCCGAAACUUUGCAUGGAUACAUACCGCGGUUUUGGACCGGGAAUAAUAUUAUACACGGUAUAUAAUAGGGGGAACUGACCGUGGGUGGGUGGGUGGGGGGAGGGAGAAAUCGAAUUAUUGAUUUAUAAAUUACCUGGGUUGUGACGAAAAAUGCUAAAACAAUUCAAUACAAAAAUAAAAAUAAAAAUAAUAGAAAUAAAAUCAUAACAAUAAAACAGUAUUUCUUCCGGCCCGGGCACCGCCGGGCGGGGCGGACAAUACAAUAAUGUAGCGUAAAGGUACGGUUAGCUAGGCCACUCCUAUAAUAAUAACAUGCGUUGUAGGCCCGCCGUCAGAGAGGGGCGGACAUUUAGAGCACGGCUAUCGUACGAUAGGGGAAGUGAUCUAAGGCCUUUUUUUUUUUAUUAUUAUUAUUACUAUCGGUUUUAUUAUUUUCCGUAUCGUUGUAACAAUACCUAUACGAAAAAUACGCAGUUGUUGUUUUUGUUCGCGGUUUUCUCGGGGGGAAUAAUAUUUGUAUUUAUCAUACGGGUAUAAAGAUGGAAAGUUGAAAACGUUUAGAAGGGUUGAAAGUGAUCGUAUAGAAGUACUCAAAUACCCAAUUGUUUCCUAACUUUCAAUUUCAUAUCCAGUAUAGGCAUUAUAGAUAUAGAAGGUAUAUUUCUAUUUUAAAAAUAUAUUAUAAAAUGUAUAAAAUUGUUUAUUAUUUAAUUUUUUUUUUUUUACUUAUUGUUCGAUUUAUUGAUGUGAAAAUGAUUUAUGUCGGUGCGAGGUAAAUGAACGUUGCGCGAAUGAUAACCGCUAACGCAUAGGCAUAAUAUAUUGUCUUCGGGUAUACCUGUAUACAAAUAAUAUACUAUAUACUCUCUCACGGGAGAACAAUACUGUUUCUGCCUUCGAUCGAUUCUAUAUUAUAGUGGUCUGUGGUCAUGAUUCGUAAUGCGAGUUCAACUUGAAACUUUGAUUAAACAAGUGUAUAACUGUGAUUUUGAAACAAACUAUAGGUAUUUCGCAUUACCUAUACCCGAUAUUAGGUACUUAAUUAUAUUACGCGUAAUAUUACUUAAAAUUGUGAUAUCUAACGAUGCACGAUUAAGUUGACUAUACGAUUUUAGCAAUUGAUAUAAAUUCACGAAUGUAAAAUGAAAGCUCUUUUUUUUCGGCAGGGAGGAGAACUGAGAAUAAACCCCAACAAUCCAUUUUACUCAUAAUUUGAGUGUACGAUUGAGCUUAUCCCCGUCAACGUACGAAACAAGUAACCAACUACCAACUGUUAAAAAAAAAAAACCGUUUAAAUUUUAAAAUAAUUUUACACCUUUCUCGGAAUACGAGAAUAUUACUAUAAUAUUAUUAACGAUAAAUAUGAUUGCGGUAAUUAUUGCGUCGGUUUAAAAAAAAAAUAUAUUAAUAAUAAUACACCGGCGGUUAGGUGCAGAGUAUUAUGCGACCGAGGUGAACAAAUCGAUACAAGAGUGCCCGUCGCAUCCGGUUUCUGUACAAUUUUUUUGUACAACGUUUUAUAUAGAUUUUACAACGAUAUAACGCGUCACGGGUAUUAAAAAUCAUAAUAAAUCAUUCAAUCAUUCGAUCGAUCGUGUCGUUGGUUCGAAAAAUAAUGAAAGAAAUGGAAAAAAAAAAAUAAGGUAAUAUAUCGAUUUUUUACACGUAUGAAAUAAAUAUAGAAUAUGUCUUUUUUUUCGAUUUUAUCGAAUUUUCUCCGAAACGGAGAAUGUAAAAUUACGCCCGUUACAUAAAUAUAUGAUUUUUAUUUUUACUUUUAAACACUUCUAUCAUUUUUAUACGGUAGUUCACUGUACAAAACCGAAUGAGUUCGAACUUGGACAGUGUUGAAUCCAGGUAUAUGUCAGAGCGGGCGAUAAGCCCCUGGAAAUUUGUUUGCCCUCCCUGUUAAAUACGGGUAAAUUAAUAAUUAAUUAAAUAAUCAAACAAAUUUGACCGGUCUUAGUAAAAGGGUAGAUAUGCACAAAGACAAAAAAGUUCAUAACAAUAAUUUUAGUAAUACCAUUCCCCUAAACAAAAUGUUCUGGAUUUGACAUUGAAUUCCAAGGUUGCUGGCGGAAUGAUUAAAGCUAAGUAAUUUCAAUAUACAUUUUAGCGUGUCGUCGUAGUGAGGGACGGCGCAUAAAGCCUAUGGAAAAAAAGACUUUGUUCAACGCUCCAAAUGCCCCGGAAUGAAACUAAAGGAAUGGCAUUUUUUAUAAUAUAUGCACGCAGUGUCGUAUUUAUAGCGACAAAUUUUAUAUUGUUUAUCAAUAAUUGCCCAUCUCUCCCCCCCCCCUUCUUUUUCUUUUAAUAUUUUUCUUCGUUUUUUAUAUGCAAUAAACGUGCUAUUUUCUACCCCGGGUGGAAGUGAUGGAAUUAUUUCCAUUGAAUAAACCUGUUUUUUUUUUUUAAAUUUUUAGAUAUUCUAUAACAUAUACAACAAUACAAAAGGAACGAUAUUUUCUAAGUUACUCGGGGCGCCGAAAUUCUAAAUACGUUCCUGCAGUAUGCGGUAUGGCGUUAUUAUAGAAUACAUCAAUAUCAAUAAGUGAAUAUGUGCACGCGAAAUGAAUACUUAUACAUACAUGUAUCGAUAAUAUAAUGCGUCUUUUCGUCUUUCGACAUUUUACGGUCGACAUUUGUUAGCCAAUUAGUGUAUACAGUUGAAGUACCUACAUAAAGUGUUACGUUAUUUUCGGCGUAUUCGGCGAAUAUUUCUAGGAUACAAAACGGACGGGGCGGGGUGGGAAAUUCGGACUCGAUACAGUGACGGAGCCCCGCUGCUGACGGGUGUUUUACAAUAUGAUUUAGGACGGUUAUUAAAAAUAAGUUACACUCGUAAUAGCGCGUUAUGGUUACGUGUAGGUACAUAGCCAAGCGCUAACGAUUUAAAGAGAAAUCGGAUUUUUAUAAUAAUAUAUCGCCGAAGAUGAUCAACCCAAAUCAGUUGUCAUCGUGACACGACAAACAAACGCGGUUAAUGUGAAUUGUGUACGAUUAUUACAGGUACAAAAGGUACCCUGGCAAUAUUUUAACGACGUCGGAUUUUUGGCAUUUUAAGCGAAAAUUAAUUCGCAUACUUAUGUACGGUGUAAUAAAUUAUGCACGGUUAUGCUAUACCUAUUCAUCGACUUCUUUAUUUUAAAUAUAGGCUACCUAUAUAUGCAGUCGAUUAUAAUUACAUUAACGUGUCUUACCUUAACGUCGGAAUUAUCGAAUCGCUCGAGUUUCAUAUUGUCGUGUGUUGUAUUUUUAUUGUUUUUUUUUUUUUAUACAAUUAUACUAUUCCAUUGGACAUAAUGACUAUAAUAAUACUAUUAUUUUUAUGUAUUCUUAAUGUGCUUUCAAAAUUAUACACCCUUGUUUCACAUUAUUAUUAUUAUUGUUUUAAACCGACACCGACAUUUUCGUUAUGAAAUGUUCUUUUUUCUUUCAAAAAUAACAACAGUAUACAAAGUUCAAUCGAAAUAAUUACCAUAUGGCCCAGUAUUAAAAAACUAACAAUAAAAAAAAAUCGUCUAAAUUAUUUAAACGGGGGGGUAGGACUUUGCCCGCAAAUUAUAACAUUCUCGGGGCAUUAAAGUUCCCAUUAAAUGUUUAACGUCCGCAAGAGCAAAUUAAAUGUUUAAUAUUGAUAUCAUCGCAUCGCCUAACAUUUCGAGAAAUGUAUACUAUACUAUUACUUUGAUAUGAUUUUAUUUUUUUUUUUACCUGUCGGCGAAUAAGUUUUCGACUAGAAGACUAGAAGACUCGUUAUUCUAAUCGUCAACUUCAAUGGCGGUUUCUGGUAAUGCAUUUUUUCUUGUCGGUGCAUUGGGUAAAUCAUUUUUUUUCUCAAUAAAGGGGGGGGGAAAUGUUGAUAAAACAACGAAGACUUCUAUUAACUUCGAUUUUGAUGGUUUGUUAUAAUCCGGUGAAUAAAUGGAUCGAAUGAGUGUCCAGUGAAAUUUUCGCUGAAUACUCGUACACGUGUUUUUCGUAGACACGGUAUAAUUUUAAAUAAACACUGACGGUUUUCGAGUUAUUUAUGUAAUAUAUAAUAUAGUCAUCUAAAAUUGUAGAGUUGUUCUUAUAAGGGGCUGUUUGGGACGGGGUUCAGUGAGACGUGUUUAUUAUAAUCAAAGUAAAACACGCUCCGAAUCUAAAUGUUUAUUGUUUUUAUAUGUUAUUGACUUAUUGUUAAUAAUAAUGAAUAGAAAUGUUAAACAGUUGUCUAGAAAAAAAUAAACGUUCAAUCAAAAUAAGGGCUUGUAAAUCGUCUAUAGCAUAAUAUGCUAAGUGACAAAAUACAUAUAUUUUAAUCAGUCACGGAUGAAAUGAACAAUAACUAUUAUUGUUUCAGUGCGGCCCGCUUAUAGUGCUCCUGAUGAGUGCGUCUAUAUUUAACGAAUACAUAUUUUAGAUUCUAAGUGGAGCUAGGAAUGUAUUGGUUUUACAAUGAUGUUUAUUUUGUUUUUUCCCGUGAACAACUUUUCUGUCAGAAAUUUCGCUCCGAUUGUUACACUUCUUCUGAAAGGAAAUCUGACUGGGUUGUUUCUUUAGAGAGGUAAUUUUUUGAUUUUCCCAGGAGUUUUCCCCAUAAAUGGGAAAAACAGAUAAUAGGUACAAUAUUACACGAAUAUUUAAAAAAAUGUAUAAUGCCUAUUUUAUUGUGUACACCAUAAUAUAGCAUGAUAUACAUAGUUGACAAAGCAACACUAUCAACCGAAUUCCGUUCAGAAUCGGUUUUUCGUUACCAAUGGUCGUUUAUCAUUGGUCACAGGUAUACAUUAAAUCACCUACAACAGUGGAUGCACCCUUCCCCAUUAUCCUAGGACAGUUUUUUCGUUAUGAAAUUUAAAAUAAUACAACGUACUAUACUAUGUACUUGAAUUCAUACAUUUUUCGACUAAAGCGAAUUACGUUGUGUUUUUUUUUUCUUUAAACCCGUUCAAUAACUCGACACGUAAUAAGGUGCAUAAUAAUAUUAAUGUCGAAUUCGGCGGCAAAAGAAAAUAAAAAAAAAUCGAACGUAAUAUCGUUAUUUAUAACCGUUUUUUGUAUUAUUAUUAUUAUUAUUAUUAUUAUUGUUUCAUACGGACUGUACGCGACGACGAAUUGAAUAGCUAAAAAUAGAUUUUGAAUAUUUCGAAUAUUAUGACGACAAAUAAACGUCAAACACAAUAGGUCCGAAUACUGUAAUAUUAUUACUAUUAUAAUAAAACGUCAUCCGUACAUCAAUGUCCGCCGAGGCGUACGUAUUAAUCUUAUAAAUAAUAGUAGCUAUACACGAAAAGGAUUAAGAAUAAAUUAUUUACGUACAAACGGUGUCCUAAAGCCGGUGCACCGGCCGGUACAAUAAUAAUUUUAGUGACUAAACGGGCCAAAUUUAAAAAAAAAAAAAAAACCAAACAAACUAACCAAAAAUGAUUAGCAACGUCUAAUAAUAAAACGCCUUAUCAUCGAUCGCGGGCCAUAAUAAGCGUAAUGUUUUUUUUUUUUAUUUUUUUUUAGCGUAUCGUUAUUAAUAAUAUUAUUGUGUAUCCAGGUACCCAGGUUAGGUUUUCCGAAUGUUAUUUAUUGCAUUAUCGGAGCUAAAUUACGCGUAUAUAGAUGCCGAAACUCCUAAUCAAAAUAUGGUUAAAGUGUAAUAUUAAUAAUAUUAUCGUUAUUAUUGGUACGUCGUUCGGACGCGCUGCGCGGACAUUCCGAGACGUCCUCUCCGUCCGCUAUAAUUUAUCGAACAAAACGAGCACCAGGCGAAUCCCGUCCGCGGCAUUGUCGAUUAUUUUAAGCGUUUUAUUAGGUACGUACUGUAGAAGGUACGCGUUUCCGAUGUAUCACGAUAUUACCGUGUAUGGAUAUAAGUAGACGCAGAUUUAUAUUAUAGACCCGUCUACAUAAUGAGUUUUGGAAAAAAAGCAAUGGUAAAAACAUCUAUUUAUUUAUUUUACAUAUUAUAAUAUAAAAAGAAUAAUUUUUGAUUAGUACUACAUAUAUAGCGCCAUAUAAUAGGUACCUACACCAUAUUUGAAUACCAUUGACUGUAUUAUAUAUUUAAUGAUAAUUUUUUAAACAUUUUCACAAAAAUAAUUAUCGGAGCAAGUUAUCGAAAUCUUAUAGUUAUUGAAAUAUGGUAUUGGUACCUAUUAUAUGGUACCGUAUAAUAUGAAGUACUAACCAAUAAUAUUACAUUUUAUAUUAUAAAAUAAAUAUAUUGCUUUUUUUUCCAUAUGCUUUUAUUUAUACUUGAUUUUUUUCCUAACCCCCUAUAUAAUGCCCGAAUCGGAUUCGAAAAUAAAAACGUCUCAUCGUCGCUGAAAUCAAACCGUGUGGAUUAUAAAUAUUACAGGCACCCGUGUCGAUAAAAAAAAAAAAAAAAACGAAUUCGACGAUUUUAAGACGCCGUAUAGUAUUAGAUAUGUUUUGCCACCUAUUCCAGAGGGACGGUCAUCGUUUCCCCUGAAAAUCUCGAUUCUCGUUUCCGCCAAUUAUCGUUUUCGUCGAAUCCAAAGAGGUUUAAUUUUCGUUUCUGCCAAAUCUAUUUCUACCUACCUAACUUAAAUUACUAUAGUUUGAGAUCCGUAUCUCUAUACCCGGGCAAUAUUUGUUUGGACCGAUUUGUACGAAAAAUCUCGUUACGAAUUUCAAUUAAAAAUAUCUAUGUUUAUGUAUAGAAAUGCCAAUAUAUUCAAUAAAUAGGUGUAUUAUACACGAUUCACUGUAGAUUUACUCGGGUUUAACGAGUUCACGCGGAGCUACGUUAUUGUGUAAUACUCGAAAUUUCGUCGUUGUGAUCAAAAUACUCACAGUAACUGUGAGCCCUAUAACACACACACUAUCUAUACAUGAUAUAGAUAAGGUAGAUUUACAUUUAUUUAUAAUAGGUAGGAAUCACUACGUAUAAAAUCAAUUACCCCGAGAUACAUCGAUGAUCGAUAGCACUGUGUAUAAUAUGCACUAUGAUUUCUUAAAUUCCGUCUCAAUAAUAUAGGUGUAAACGACUCAGGGACGGGUCGAAAGCGCGGAGGUUAGGUUUCGAGAAAAUAAAGCGCGCGUCUUAAUGUUCAGCAUUAAACACUCUGAAAUGAGAAACCGCGUACCGCUCAAAUAAUGAAAUACUUUUUAAAUUCCACGUACGUCCGGACCUAUUAAAUUAGUUAUAACAUUCGUGAACACAGAUGCCUUACAGCAGGUGUCGGUUGAAAUACGAAAAAAAAAAAAAAAAUUAGGUACGACACUAUGACGUAUUGAAUAGGUACGAUUCGUACCAUGGCUGAUAACCUAUUUAGAUUCCGUAGGUGUUUAUUAAGGGUACAACGUACACGGAAAUUGAAUUAUUUUUAUUGAUUAUCUUAGUGACGAUACGGACGCAAAAAAAAAAAACCAAUUGUUACAUCUGAGAACUUGGUUAUCACGGGCAAGCUAAUGUCCUUGUAAACAAAUGAAGUUACUCGCGGAUAACCGCGACAAUGGAAUCGAGGAAUCGCUCGGCCAGACACGUUUUUAUUUUCCGUUCGAUACUGCGCCACGCGGGACAUGCCUACACUAAGAUUACAAGUGAAAUUUUAAGCUUUACAAAAACGAAUAGUACAACCGUCAAGAUCAAACAGGCGUAUAGGUAUUUUACGCGAUUACACGACAUAAACGACUAUAACGACAUGAUAAUAUUUGUAACUGUAAUGGGUAACCCGUUCGAAUAAUAUCAAUUAAUUAUUUUGUUCGAUAACAUAUACGGUCGAUAAAAAAAAAAAAAAAAAAAAAAUAAUAAUAAUUUUUUUUUCACUAUAUUUGUUAUUAUAUCGCAUUGUAAAAUAUACAAGUGUCUCGUCGAAAAUAAAUACAGGCAAGUAUAUUAUUAUUAUUAUAAUUAACGAACUCCACUAUACGCGUCUCGUCGGCUCGUGAAAAAAAAAACCUUUAAGUGAGUACCUGUACAAUAUAAUAUAAUACCUGUGCGUUUGAAUUAAGUCGACAGUAAUUAUUAUUUACUUAACGUUCAUUCGUAUUUUACUUUUUAUUUACUUAUUAUAUUUAUAACAGUAUGGGUUCCCGAAUGUAAUUGAAGUGCGUGGCCGAUAUGCUCGAUCAUAUUGUAUAUUCGAACCAGCCGUUAUUAUACAUUGUAUCGUUCACGAAAACGGACAAAUUGAUAAUUUUACGUAGAUAUAUUAUAAUAAUAUAUACCAUACGUUAUUUUGGUAAUUAUUUUUUUCGCGUCGAGUGUCAUCGCACGCGCGUUAAACAAUAACGGUUGCGCGGGUAAAUCAAUGCAAUUGUAUUGUGCAUUGUAUACAGUCCGUACGCAAAACGAUUGUAUACUAAUUAUAAUAUUAUCGUGUGUAUUUAAAAACGUAAUCAUUUUUCUAUUUCGUGACGGGUGGGGCGCGUUAACUCAAUACGAAAAUGUUUCACAGAAUAUUAUUAGGCACACGCGUCCGUAUAUGAAAUAUCGCGUGUUAGAUGACUCGGAAGUAGUGACGAAAGACAAAAAGUCCUUAGUGUAUGUGUAGUAUAAUAUAAAUCUACAAAUUCUGUUUCAAAAAACGUGUGUUCCUGUUCAGUUAUCUAAUGUCUACAUAUUUGGCUCAGCUACCCACUCGUCUAUAUCCAUCAUCCACCUGUUGAAAAAAAACUCCCCUCGCUACCUACGUAUAAUUUAACUAAAUUCCACUAUAAUCGAUUGUUCGAUCGUGUGAUAUUAACAUCGAUAUACUUACUGUUAGUUUUGUGAGAACCGUACGAAAAACAAACAAAAAACAGUGGCUUAAUUGGUAGGAGCGCGGAAGAGGGGGCAACAAAUACGGACAAUUGGAGGAGGAUAGUGGCGUUAUCACAAUAAUUUUAUCGUUAUCAUUUUAUAUUUAUGUUACGCAAAUCUUUACGUAGGGUAUGUUUUUAGAAUAUGAGCGUAGCGAGUGAAUGGUUUUUUUUUUCGGUCUGUCUCAGAAUAGCGAACUUUUCUACCAGAUAUCGGAUGCUCCAAUCGAAAACCGAUAGGAGAUAUUUUUCGUAGCAAUAAUGAUAUUUUAAUUUAUGAUUUUAUUUUCCCGUUGUAUUUUAGUCAGAAAUAAUCAAGGAUACCUGACAUGUUCAAUCAAAAUUGUAUAGUACUUUCAAGUUUUUAUUGGGUUUUAUGUGGAUAACAUUAUUUUGGCUUUUCAAAAGUGCUCAAAAAUAUGUUACAAAGUGCAUCGUAAAGUGAAUUUAUCAUGUCACUAUACAAACGUCGAAAAUUCGUAGCCUCAAUUUUAUACAGUUCAAAAUGUCGAUGAGUAUCAUAAAAAUCACGGCAUUCGCGUAUUAUAAUUUCUUGAUAAAUGCGGACAACACUAUUUUAGUUUCGUAAAAAUACAUAACGAUUUGAGACCAAGAAACACGGACAUGUAUAAUUUAUUUUGCAUUUUUAAUUACAAUAUGUUCAAUUCAUUAAGUUUAUCAAUACAUGAUAUUAACCAGUUUAAAAUGAAUUGUUAUCGUCGCGUACAGAUUAUAAAUUAAUUUACCCUAAUAUCCUAUUGUAUACACAUAGUUACAACUAGACAACUAACUUUGGGAGUGAUAAAAUUAUGGACACAUCAAAGAUCCAUGAGGGAUAUGCCUCUCGCAUACCUAUUUAUACGACUCUUACAAUAGGCGACUACACAUUUAAUUUACAAUUUUGUAUAGGAUACACAAAUUUAUCGUAACCGUUUUAACAUCGUGUUUUACACACACGUGCAUAUAUUUGUAUUUAAUUCUGCUCAUUAUAAUUAUGAAAUAAAUGGAUAAAAUAUUUAUUCGUUACUAUAAGAAAGCUAAUUGAGUUUUUUUUGGGGGGGAGAGGGAAGUGCUAAAUUCCCCUAGCGCCCCCUAGUUUCACCUAUGUGUAUACCUAUCUUAUCUUAUCUUAUCUAGUUGGGUAUAGCUUGUCACCUACAACAGUGGCCUGUAUUCAUGUAUUCUACUGUACGAAGGGCGUAGCGAUACUCGCGAGGUUCUCGCGUUAUUUUUUGCCCUCCACGGGCUUCCAAUCGAGAAAACCUGGAUAAUAUACCGUUGAUGAAAAACGACGACAAUUACGAAUACAUUAUAUUAGUAAUGCAUUCCUAUGCAUUUUGGUACUUGCACCUACGUAAUAUUGAAAAUAAUCCGCUACAGCUACCUAUCUACCUACUUACCUAUGUAUGUAUAUUAAUAUUAAUUAUAUUGUUCGUCAAAAUUAUUCGACAAGUCAACCGAAAUAUUAUCGUUAUGUUAAACGCGUAUGUUCUUAAAAAAUAUUCGAAGAAUGCCGUGAUUUAUAAUAAUAUGAUGAUGAUGAUCAGAUGAUUAAAUGUAAAACCUAUCGACCCGGCGACUGUGGCCUCACCCGUUUUGCGCGUACCUAUCUAUGCAAUAAUAAUAUAACUACUACUAUUAUUAUUAUUAUUAUUAUUAUUAUUAUUAUAGUAUCUAAUAUUAGACGUUCGCAACAAAUCAAUUCCAAUUUAAUUUUGAAUUUUUUUUUUUCCGUUUUAUAUAUCACGUUGUCGCUUAUAAUAGAUAGGUGUCAAAUAGGAAUUUUCGGUAUUUCCUAUUGUCGGUAGGUGUGCAAUAUUAUAACAAUCAAAUUUGACAAAACGAUUUUAACAUGCUAUUUUCGUAGACGCGAUUUAUUGAGCUACAUAAAUGUUUUAAUAUAAUAAUUGAACAUCUGUCUUCGUUACUCCUGUUUCGUCUGAAAUAUCAAUAUCGGUACAUCAAUACUUACUAAUUUCACCUAGGUACACCAGGCUCGUUCGAAAGAAUUCUUCCUAUUGCUCAAAAACCAAAAGCUCUUUCUCCCCCCCCCCCCCCAAAAGAAAAAAAAGAAAAAUAGAGCAUUUAGUCAGAUGAGGCGAGUGACGAGUUGAAUCAUCAUAUACGGUCGUAUUAUACGAUUUUCUAUUUACAAUAAAAAUACACAAGUACAUAUAGUCAUAUAGAUAUGAUUCGUUAUGAAUAUCAUCUUUCAAAAAUCAUAAAAUUAAUUUCGUUUGAAACAUCGGCCGCAGAAAAAUACCUAUAUUAUAGAUAGUUUUGAAUUUUCAAAAUAAUUAUUGACUACGGAUGCCUAAAAUCAACAAAUAAUAAUUAACGAUAACAGCAUGUCUUUUCAUAUUGGUCUUCACGUGUACACUGUGACACUCGCUCGACCCUUCCUCUUAUAAUUUUCAAAAUAUUCGCCUCAAAUCACUUACGAGGUUCAAUAAUAAUUUCGAAAACUUUAACACAGUACACGGAUGAGACACAAAAUAAGUAUACACAAGACAUUACUAAUGGGAAUUGUACCGUUUCAUAUAUAAUUCACAUAUAUAGUUAUACACAAAUACUGUUCUGCGGAACUAAACUGUGUAGUUUAAUAAUUACCACCGUCCAAUUAUUCGGGUCCUACUGACCGUAAGAAUAAGGAACGCCGAAUCAAUCUAUUUUUAAAUCGUGAACUAAACACACAAUUAUUUACGAGUAUUCGCUGUACUUGAAGUUAUUUGAAUACCUACGCGUAAACUUAAUCUAUAGUGUGUGUGUGUGUGUGUGUGUGUGAUAUAUUUAUAUAUUUUAUUUUACACAUAAAUAAUAAUAUUAGUUUUUAAAAGUGUUUUUUUGUAAUGCAAUAUGAAUAAAAUCGGAAAAAAAAAAAAAUCAUAAAUUCGAUGAACGCGUUACCUAUAUUAAUUUAGUUGAAUAUUUAUCGACAACAAUUAUUAUUCUACGAACGGUAUAGUAAAAUUACUGAUUGCGUUAUGAAAUAUCGAUAAUUGUUAAUCGUUUUCAUUAGCUGUAUAGGUACCUGUAAGAAAAUAACCGUUUAUAUUGAAAAUAUUGAUAAAAUCUUACGAUUUCCAUAAGUAAAUGACAUCCUUCAGAUAUAUCGAUACCCUACUCGUAAAAACUAGAACAAAACAAAUCACACAAAUGUAGUAUUUGAAGGUUAAUUGAUAAGAAAAAGAGAACCGAAAAUAUUUUAUCAAAAGGAGAAAAUAAUUUAUAGUAAGAGGGGGUGUGAUAUAUAAUUUUAAAAAAAAAAAAGAAAACCAACGGUUAUUAUUAUUUUUGUUUUGUUUUAUCGUUGACUUCCGGGUCGAAAAUAAACCGCAACUAACACCAUAAUAUAAUACGUAUCCACUCGAAAUCGUUUUUCGUUCGCAAUGACUUGUAUACAAUCGCAGGUAUAUUGAAUAAAUUAUACUCUAUGCAAACUACCCGCCCAGGACGACGGCCUACCCUUGUCGGGAAAAACGUCCUACGGAUUUUGUAACAUUAUUAUCAUUAUUUUCGUACUUCGAUAUCGAGUAUAAUCACGCCCGCGGCAAUAUAUUUCGGGCGUUUACAAUCGACUGCGCCGGGCAAACGCGACGGCAGAACGUUAAAACACAGAUCUGCCGCCGUACCAAAGUGUUCAAAGUGUACAUCGUCCGUCGGGUGACAAUUGCAAUUUUCGAAUAAUGUUCUCUCCGUAACUAUACACGUGUGUGCCGUGUAAUAUGCCGUCGCGCGAAAUAUGGGCAUAAAGUUAAAACUACAAAACUGACUCAUUGUCCAGGUAUAUCCAUGUAAUAUCUCCGUAAUAAAAUAUUAAAAAAAAAAAAAAAAAAAAUAUAUAUAUAUAUAUAUACGUAAAAAAGGUUAAUCAUAUUUAUACACAGUAGGUACGACUGAGUAUAUUAUUAUAUUAUUGUUAUUUGUAGACAAGAAUGUCGAUCGAUCAUUAUGUUGUGUAGGUAAGAGUAAGCAUGUACAGCCCAGUAAUCAAAUGAUUCAUAUUGUUAUUGUGGCGAUCGCGAAUUCGGCAUAAGCAUAGAGAAAAUUCUAUUCGGUAAUUAUAUUAUAAUCGCGUGUGUUGUUGCGUCGGGAUAGUUGAUUUUCAAAAUUUCAUUAAACAACGGGUGUUCGACAACGGCACCGCGAAGCGGACGAAACCUUUGAAUGGAAAUUUUCGUGUCGAUUAUUCCCGUACAACUCGUAUUGCGUAUACCGCUGAAAAAAAUAAUAAUAACAAUUUAACACCGUAUUACGGGCGUACGACGACGAAUGCGUGCGUAGAGGAUCUUUUUUUCUUUCUUUCUUUCUUUUUUUUUCCUUUUUUUUUUUUUUUAAUCUUCAAUAAUUAUUUUGCAAUGUAAUAUAAUAUUUUUUAAUAGUUUUAAUUGGCUAAACUGCAGCGAUUUGCUUUUAUACCGAGUUAGUAUAUUAUAAAAAUUGCGUGGAUAUUUAUUAUUAUUAUUAUUAUUAUUUUUUUUUUUUUUGUGAGAAACAAUCUACAAAUCCGAUGACUAUACAAUAUAAUAUAAAAUAUAAUACCAACGGCGUUAAAAAAAGUGUUCUUAGUUUUCUUUUGUAAAUGCACCGGUAAUAAAAUUGUACGAUUUCGCAUAAUAAUAAAUGACACGAUAACUGCACAAGUACCUAUUAGGUAAUUGAUUCAACGCAAUGUACCUACAGUGUAAUAUACUCGAGUAAAAUUUAAAAUCAAUAUAUAUAUAUAUAUAUAUAUAUCUCUUAUUUUUUAUUUUUUUUAUAAAGGUACUUUUUUAGCAUUCGUAUCAGUUUGGUUUAACUGUGAUUUUUUUUUUUUGCAUACAACUUUUCUACCAGAAAUCUUACUCCAACCAACAAUAUUACGGGAACUUUAUUGUAGAAUUUGUCUAUCAAGUUGGAGAUUUUUCUUCGGUGGUUUUCUUAAUCUAACGGAAAAACUCGAACUGUUUGGUAUAAUUUUUGUUGAUUUCUGUGUUAGCUUCUUGCCGGCUACAAAGAAACAAAUGCGACUAAUGAUACUCUACUCAGAAUAGUAUUUGGUUAGCAAUGUUUCAUCGCUGUUUACAGACACAAAUUAAAUUACUCUUUAUAUCCUACCUUGAAAACUUUCAUCCUAAAUCAGUGGCCCACCUAUCCAACAGCAUCAGCCUUUUUUUUUUGUGCGUUUUAUAAUAUAAAUAUAACAAACAUUUUAAACCUCGAGAGCUAAAUAAUAAUUAAUACGUCGUUUUUACACAAUAUAAUUUUAGUUAAUAUUAUUAUAUUAUGUUCUGUCAUCAUUAUAAAUUUAAUCUUUCUGAUUUGUCACUGUUUCUCACAAAAAAAAAAUAAUAAUAAUAAAUAAUAACCACGCGACGACUCACUAUAACGCGAUAAAAACAAGAUUUUUUUAACCAAUUAAAAAAAUGUGAUUGAUAAUAAAAUAAUAAUUGAAGUUUGAAAAAUCGUUUUAAUUUACAGUAAUAAAAAUAAUAAUAACAAUAAUAGUUAUCCCGCCCUGCGUUUUUUGUGCUAAAACAAAUACAAUCCAACAAUGAACCAAGUACCUAACUAAGACACUAAGUUAUCAGUUUCUGCGGUAACUACUGUUCGUUGUGCAUAUUCUCGCCAUAACUAUUACGACCCUUACUACCUCACCUUAUUUUUUUAAACUUUUUUUCUUUUCUUUGUUUCAUCCGAAUCAUCAAGGAAACCCAUAAAUCAACAAAAAAAAAAAAUUCAAUUAUCCGCACCGAAAAUUCCAAUGAGCCUGCGAAGGGAAAGCAAGUAUAGCCUAUAUGUUAUUCCUGGUCUGGAACUACAUCUAUGCGAAGUUUCAGCUAUAGGCUAUACGUUUUUAAAAAUAUUUUCGUCCGCGAUCGAAUAUUCAGAAGAACUUGGGAAUGUUUCGAAAAAUUAAUGGGUUUACCCACAACCCAAUAACCCAUUUAUUCGAACAGUUUUCGGUGUAAUCGAAUAGUUCGACUGCGAUCGACUAUCGAAUAUAUUAUUUUUCGAUGUCGUGCGCCCGUCACUAAACAUUUUUACAGCGUCACAACAUAUAAUAUAAAAUAUGCAUCGUAAUUAUUAUUAUUGUACGAAUAUAUGUUACACAAGUUUACACAACAGCCGUGAAUCGAUUAUUAUCCACGUAGUUAGUCGUAUUUAAAUAAUUUCGCUAAUCGAAAGUGCGUAUAUUACGGUGUGUAGUACCUGUACACAGAACUUGAAUGGGGAAAAAAAAAAAAAAACCUGUUACCUUAUAAUGUGACCGUCUACUUCUACUACAGUACCUCGUAUAAUAUAAACAUAGUUAUUUGUGUGUUCUUAAUAACGCAUAUACUCGUGUGUGUGUGUGUGUGUAUAUAUAGGUAUAUAAUAAUAUUAUACCGAGAAGCAUUUCCGGUUUUUGUGGCAGUGUCUCAACACGUUUUCGUCGAGCAUAAUAAUAUUGUGUACAGGUAAGCACGGCGGCGGCGGCGGCGGCGGCGGCGGCGGUGAGAAAAUACAAAUCUCCGCGAGAUCGGAGGCAUAGACAACUGAUAAAUGUUGCACCGUUCGCAUUCCUAGUCGAUUCGAGGGAGUACACCCGUUGUACACCGGCGCGGCGGCGUCGACAGGAACCUACAGGUAUACCUGUAUAAUAAUAAUACCUGUCGCACGUGUUUCGGCGUGAGUCAGCGUACAAAAAUGAUAUUCCCGGUAUAUUAUCGGUGUAGUCUACGAUUUCGUGAAAUACCUCGAUUAUGUCCUCAUCCGGGGCAACCACAAUAAUAGUUUUUAAUAAUACGCGCGGCGGCGGGUAUGCAAAGAAAGCGGCCGGAAGUGAGCAGUGAUCUCUGACGCAGACGGCGGCCGUCAGAGAAAUAAUAACGAUUAUUAUAAUAUUUGUAUACAUCAUAUUAUUACCAACGGUAUCCGUCAAUUUUCGCACGAAUAAUUAUUCUACUAUAGUCUCGAUUUCGGCCGAUAGCUUUUUUUCUUUUAUUAAUUUCCUCGCCUCCCCUAUUCACGACCGUCGAGACCGCCCUGCCGAAUAAAUCCUCUCCGUCAGUAUUCCGAUUCCGUUUAAAAGUCGCUGUCGAAACGUCCUGUUCGAUUUAAUUUUCCCGAAUCUAAAUAAUCAAAAUGCGUGUAGCGAUGCUGUAUAUUUAUGCAAUCUACACAAACUUGCUGUAGUCGCCGUAGUUGCUUCCUUCACGAAACCUAACUAUACCUACCGUUUUAAAUUCGUUAAAAUUUUACUAAAAUAAUUGUUCAGUUGUUUUUUGCAUGAUUUACAGAACCCCAAACUUCAUUAUCAAAAUUUUUUCACGAUAUCGCUGUUUCGGUAACACGCCUCUUUGAUUAAAAUUAUUACCACUUUUUUCGUUAUUAUAAAUAAAAUACAUUUAUAGAAAUCACCAACAGUAUUCGUUUUUAAAACCAUAAAAACUUAUCACUUACACUAAACAAGUGAAAACACAAGUUAUUACUCUAAUGAUUUUAGCAAUUUGAGCCUCAGCUAUAAUAAUUAAACAAAAUCAUUUACUGAUUAGAUUUAAUGUAUAUUGCAUCUUUCGAUAAUUGCUGGGUAUUUCAAAAUCAUUUAUUAUUAUUACAAUAGAUAACAUAAUAAUAUUAGCAAAUAUCAUACACGUGACACCAAUAUUAAUGCAACAGUAGAUAAAAUGUUUAAGUAGAUAGUAAUUUGUACUCAAAAACGGCCGAGCCUCUUAAAUGAAUGUCAGGCAAUAGAUCAGUAGAAUAGUUUUGUUAUUAAAAUGUAAAAAAAAAAAAAAAAAAAAAAAAAAUGUCACGAAAUCGGAGAAAAUUAAUAAAACCGUUACCAUUCCCUCUUAAGAGAAAUUUAUACUUACGAGUGUUAUCUCCGUAUUACAAACGUGCUACAUAGGGAAUUUCCAUGGGGAAGAAUCCAUUGUGUGCGGUUAAUUUCAAUAUUAUGGUUAGUUUUUAAAGCGAGAAAUAAUAAAAACGUUUUAAAAUUGUUUUGAAACGCGCAUAUGUAUAAUAUCUCGCUUGAAAGUUAAAAUAUCGAUUAAAAACCGAUGUACACCAAUAGUUUGUUCCGAACUUUAAGUUUUUUAAUAGGCCAAUUUACUAUAUAAUAUACGAAUACUAACAGCAGAGUUUCAACUGACAAGCAAAUGUCACGCGUUCGUAUGUAAGACGGAGUUUUAACCCAACGUAAUUUUUGUUAGUUUUCAAUUAAUUUAAUACGGAGUAUUAUUGUCUUCGGUUUCGACAAAAAUAUUUAACGGUUCACUAACAAAUUUAAAUUAUAUUAACUGAAUAUUUUUUUUUUAUUUUUUUUUAACGCACAUCACCGUAAACGAAAAAAAUAUUCGUCAAAUAUAUCAGAUAUUAUAUUAUUGUAUUCCGAUACUAUUAUAAAAAAUAACACGAUGAUGGACCCGCGCGUAUACGUUUGUCAGUAAAUAUCCCCACGAAUAAGGAUUUUUUCCCCUCUAUUUCGUUACAUUUCGGUAAUUCAACACCCGAAGAAUUUUUAAUAACCACGGAUUAUAGAAAGGGAUAAAAAAAAAAAUCCGUAUCCUUCGCGUUUACUUCACACGCGUACUAUGUUGACCGAGAGAAAAACGUAUUUUUUUUUUUUUUUUGGAAUGAAAUAUAUCAUAUAGACCCAACGAACAUAAUAGGUAUUUAUCGUAACUUACUCAACCCGUUUCAAUCGAAAAAAAAAAAACACCCCGUGUCUUUUUAUAUUCAAAAGAGGGGAAGCGAGACCCGGGCUGACUUAAUGAGCGUGUUCAAUCGGCGUUUCGCGGUUUUGAUAACACAUUCUGGCUUCCCGGUCCGAGUUUACCUGUAGCUUUGUAAGUACGGGAAAUACAUAUUAUUGUUAUAUUGUAUUGUAUUCAACGCAAACGACAGAAACGAAUGAUGUUUCUCCAUUCAAUUUUCAAUUGUGUUUUUAUCAAUAAUUUAUAUCAUCGUUAUCAAUAAGCAGCGCAAAUAUUUGAACGCGUAUAUGAUUUUCGAAACUUGUAAUGUACCUAUUUGUUAUAUUUUAUCUUUUGUUUACCUCGCUAUAAUAGUUUUAUUUUUGUAAAUGAUAAUAAUUGUUUCCUCCCCCCCCACCGUUAUUAACAGGCAAAAUGGUAAUAAUAUUAAAAAAAAAAAAAAAAAAAAAAAUAAAAACCCCGGUUACGAUAUAUUAUUUUAUUACCUACUUUUUAUUACGAGUGUUAUUAAUGAAUAUAUAGUGAUUAAAAAAAAAAAAAAAAAAAAAACGAAUUAUUAUUAAACUGUUUUCGAUAACAUAUUAUCAUCGCGAGGAGAGUGGAAAACUACGGUUAUAAAUACUGUAUUAUUAUUACGAUACAAUAAUAAUUUUUACGAUAAUAAUAAUAUUAUAACAUAACGUUCGAUUUUUUUUCAACUCGGACUGCAGCUGAAUGAAAAUAUCGCGGCGGAAAUGACGGAAUAAAAAACCCGCAAAAUCGCAUGCAACGCGUACGAAAUGACGUACUCACGGCUACGACAUUGACGUUAGUUCCUAUUUUUAUUUUUUAUUUAUCUUUUAUUUUCCGUUGUUUUACUAUAUGAAUCACUGGGUCAUCGGGACGGCGUUUUUAUGCAAUAACGUCGAACUCGGUCGACGGUUGACCGAAAUGAUGUUUCUGCGCGCAGCGGAAGAACCAGUUUUUACUUUUCGCGUGUGCGGAUAGAAAUAAUAUAAUAAUAAUGUGUAACGUAACCGUUACAAUGUAUAAUAUGACGGGUUCUCGUCGGCGAGUAAAAAAAAAAAAAAAAAUCGAUUAUCUAAUCUGGUAAAAUUCGCAAGGUCGCGAGUGGUAACAAGACGAAUUCGUCGAGUUUUUCGAUUUCGCGGUGGUGCUCGGGGUAACGUUUGCACCGUGGAUUUAAAUACGCUCCGAAUCGAAAAUAACAAGUUUUAAAACGUUACAAGAUUUUAUAUUUUUUUUACACGACCUUUUUUCUCUCUCUCGUUUUUAACAACCGACAGCAGUGGAAGAUCUGUGUGCACUUUACUUUUCUAACGUUAACCUGACCCGUACUUUCGGAAGACAGCUCCAAUGACAUGGCGUAAUAGUAGAAAAAAAAAAUACCAAAACAAUAAAUUGCCGAUGUAGGAAGACCGAAACGUGCAUUUAUCUUGUAAUUGCAUUGCGGAAAAAUAUAUUAUAAGACUGGUGUUAUACGGGAAUGCUGCAGAAAUGAUUGACUGCAGGACAUUGGUCGGGAAAAAAAAUCUAGAAACCUAUUUGUCCAGCUUAUGCGGGUCUUUACUACAGAGCCGUUGAGCUGUAAAAGAUAAGUAUAAAAAAAAAAGAAGCCUGAACUACUAAAACGAUAAAGCAUUGCUCAUAAAAAUCGAUUCUGAGCAAAGUACUUUUUUUUUUUUAUUUGGUAAAGUAAAUCAUAAUCUAUACAAGUAUGUACAUUCAGCAAUUGAGAUGAAAAAAUAUAAGUAAUGACAUCGAGUAUUUAGAACAAUAUGGGAAAUUACCCAGUGGUAACAUCAAGCACAUGAAUUAGCAAAGUACUUAUUAUCAGUCGUAUAUUUCCCCACGUUGCCAAAGUAUACGCCAGAAACUAACAAAACCUAUUGGAACAGUCCAAACAAUUAAACUAAUUCGAAUACUCCGAACGCGAUCAACUAAGGCAUAGUUCGGCACAUCCGGCCGUGUCCGUCACUAGUUAGCCUAGUCAACCUCCCCCGGAAAUCGGCUAUUACAUUUAAAUUGAAUUGAUAACAUAAACAAGACGGUACGUAUAGAAAUAAACAAAGAUAGUUUUGUUAAAGAAUAAUUAUUAGACUUUCGUUUCGAGUACUGUAAUAAUAGCAUAAGCGCUUAAAACGCGUUAUUUUAUCCCGAAACGUAUAACGCAUCAAGUGCAUUGUAUUGGGCAACACUACGUCGCUAUUAAAAUAUAAUAUUAUUAUUACGAAAUAUACACAGGUAAGUGAUGUGCCCUCGAUUGGAUAGUCUCUUUUCGAGUGUAUUUUACACGGGGAGGGAGACAAAAAAAAUUACUACCUAUACGGACAAGUGCCGCUGUCGUUUCGUAUACUUGUGUGAAGAGGACGGAUUAAAUAACGAUAUAGAUAAAAAAAAAAAAAAAAUUUCACAGGGAAUAUUUUAAUUAUAAUAACUAUAAUAGGUACGUAUUGUAUUGGAUGAAAAUCGUUGGCAUCGGUCGAAUCGUCUAAAUUAUAAUAUGAAACGGGGGGGGGGGGGNNNNNNNNAUUUUUUUUUUUUUUUUUUUUGAUAAAUUCGAAUUUAAAAUUUUUAGAUUGUGUACAAAACGUGAAAUUUAUUAGGUCUGACUAUAAUAUGAUACGUGUGCUUUUUAUUCUCUCGUUUUUAAAUUAGUUUUGGAUUUUAGACUUGCUCUACCACUGGAUCAAUUUCAAGGAUUCAAUUUUUUUAUUUUGCUUUUACCAACGAAAUAAUUUACGGUUUUCGAAAUUUUUUUUGAAUUUUUUUCAUAUUCACUAACCUAGUUUUCAAGGUACUUAAAGAACUUUUUUUUAUCUUUUAUCGUUAGUAGAUAAUAGAUAAUAAAAAAAAUCAGUCAAUUUUCCCGACUUUGCAAUAAAAAACAAAAAAUAGUCGGAAAGGUGCGAUGUAUAAAAUUAUUUAAUAUAUACCUGUAACCAAUGAUAAACCGUUGCUCAGAAAAAACGAUUCGAAGCGAGAUUCAGUUAUGAAUGUUUUGAAAGGCCGUACAAUAUUUAUUAUAUUAUUAUAAGAUUUUCGUCAUAAUUUGAUUUUAAAACUCUCAUAAAAAAAAAAUUAUUACUAAAUUACACUAUUUUGUCAAAAAUAUAUUAUAUGACCUUCCUAAAGUACUUUCCCAAUUAAAUUCCAUUUCAAAAAAAAAUAAAACUAUAGUAAAUCGGAGCAAAAUUUCUGAUAGAAAAGUUGUCCACAGAAAAAAAAAGAAAAACUAAUCAUCAUUGUAAAACCAAUACUCCCUGGCUCUAUUCAGAACCUAAAAUCAAUCUCUUGUUAGUUUUCUGUUGGAACGAUAUUUAGGGCGGAAAAUAUUAUAAGUCGCGAAAUCGGCGCGCCGUGACUAUCGGCUGUCUUACCUAUAUAAUUUUCUUUCGGGUUUUCCUCAAUUAUUUCGAAAACCCCUUGGAAAGUGAAAAAACGACCUGCCCAGCGCAGCACCGACCUGACAAAAUUUCCUUUCGGAAAACACACUACGCUAGUACGUGUACGCAGGAACAUGAUUUAUUUUCGAAAAGUCGUUUGUGCCGACGCAAAACAGUAAAACAGCACACAACGAAGUAAAAUCAAUAGACCUCACCCGCCGUAUAGGCCCCGGAAUCUAAAACGAACUCGCGAUGUAUAGGUAUUAUUUCGUUAAAAAUAAAACAACCAGCGCGACGGCAACGCGCCGAGCGAUUCACGUGCGUCGUUCGCGUCUUAUAUAAUAAACAACAUAGUUAUAUAUAUAUAUACACGUGUAUUAUGUACAGUGGCGUAAUUACGAGGGCGCACGACGGUGAAUGCAACUGCUGAAGCCGAACUUCAGCCCUAUGAAAAAAAAAAAAAAAAUAAUAAUAAUAAUAAUGAAAGGAUUUCAUUGUUUUGUUUAAUUCCUAUAAUAAAAUAUCACGUAACAACGAACGAAUAAUGGAAGGACGAUAGUGAUGAUUUUUUUUUUUCUCUUUGCGGGAGGUUCGUAGGCAAAAACCAACAAUAAUAUUAUGCGGACAGUUUUUCAGACGGGUUUUCGCGUAUAUUAAAACGACCACGGGGAAAAAUCAAAAAAAAAAAAAAAAAACGACCCCUUCGAUUUUAUAACCCGGCAUUUUCUUACACCGUGUUCACGAACGCCGGCAGUCGAGAAUCCAGCCGUUUACCGACAGUGACUUCGGUGACACGUGGACGCUUUUUAUCCUACAGCAUCUGUUACCGCGGUCAGCCCGAAAAUAACAACAGCAUCGUACGUCCGUGGCACGGCAUGACGUUCUGCCGUUGAACUACACCGAAUUGCGGGACGAAAAACGGUUACCCGCGUAUGGCCGCGAUUGUCUAUUACGGAACUCUCCGGAGACCGCACGACCGUACGACCGGGUGAUUUCCCGUUACCCGCGGUUGUCGAUGCCUGCGGAUGUUGCGCGCUCGUCGGAAUUUAACGGAAUCACCCACGCCAAUCGAAACCAAUCGCAGGUGUCACGGUGCCGUAUAACAGGAGGUGGCGGGCGUAUAGUUUUGUUACGUGGGAGUAUGAGAAUAGCCGUCGGCCGCAGUCUACAAUAUCUGUUGGUUUUGCGUUGUGCACGGGUGGGUAUGUAAUUUUGUCGCGCCGCCGCGGCCCGACGCGUGUAGUGAACGCGUCGGCGUCGGCGGCGGUGUCGCGCAGAGAACCGACGCGUGACGUCACAAGGUCGUAGAAGUUUGUUUACUCAGUCGGCCACCGCCGUCGCCGCUAAAAAGAACACGUAAUAAUAAUAAUAAUAAUAAUAAUAAUAAUAUCAUAAACGUCUCUCUUUGGCGGCGGCACACACCGUGUACAUCUAUAUGCACACCGGCAAUAAUAGUAAUAAUAAUAAUAAUAAUAAUCCCCGUUCGGCCGGCCGCGAUGACGGAACCGCGCACAGCUCGCCCGUAUACCGCGGCGGAAAUACGUCAGUGGCGACGGCGACGACCGCGACCGCGGUGUUGGGCCCCGUCGGUAAAGCCGAACCCGCACCGCGUUCGCGCGCCAUAACGCGCGGAUAACGGGAGAACAGACGACCGUCCCCGGGGUCGACAAAGACGAACGGCUCGUUGCGGGGUACGUCUAAUCAAUGGCUAAUCCGCCCGAACGGACGAGAAAACCAAAUCACCGCCGACGAGCACGGGCAAGCCAAUUGCGAUAUUGACCGAUCCGCACGAUUGAACGGCCGGCCCCGGCUUAUCAGCUCAUCGUUUUCUACUGUCAACGGUUUAACCGUGAAAGCGUCCUAGCUGGCCGCGGCUGUUCGUUAUUACGGCCAACCAAUGGCCCCGUACCGAAACCCGGACGAAAAGUCCGGUGACAAAUGGUCCGUGGACGAAAAGUCCCGGACUCUUUUUUACAUUCUACAAUAAUAAAAACAAUAACGAUUUUCAGCUUACCAUUGGAGGUUACUGAAAAUAGACCAUAGACGGACAUUUUUUCGAAAUUUUAUUUGAACAUUUCCACCGAAUACUCGAAACAAGUUUAUGAUAAUCCGUAGGUUUAUGAAUAUCCAUUAAAAACAAUGUUUUUUUUAUUUUCUUAACAUGGUAUAAAUAGAGUUAAAAAAUAGUUGAUUUAUUAGAUGUAGAUUUAUCUUAAAUCGUGUGGUAAAAGUAACAAUAAUAAGAAAAUAAUUUUUUGUUGUUCGGAUUUUUUGUCGUUCGAAUUUUUUGUCUGACUAUAAAAAUGUGCUCGGUCCUUUUGUCCGACAGUAAAAAAAUGAGUAAAAACUUUUUUUUAAAACGGACUUUUUUACCGGUUACCCCUUAUACCUUACUGCAGCUUUUAACAGUUAGUUUACGAGCUCUUACCUACCGAACUAUCAACUUACCUACUGCAGCUAUUAAAGGCUUUUCGAUAGCGUUAUGACAGACCUCGAACACUAUUCCACAACAGAACGACCAAAUCAUAUCUUGUGUUAUAUUCACUUACUCCGCCCGACUUGACCGAAUGUAUCUAGUUUUAAUUUUAUAUGUUUAUUUGUCUAUUAGGAGAUUUCCCGGUGUUCCGAUGUGUCCCUAGUCCAACACGGAUUCGGGACACUGUCGGUACAUCAAACGUGCAGUUGUCCGCAGUGUAUCGUAUUGCUGCAUUCGGCACCGGUAAGUAUACCUAUAUACGAAUCGGUAAAAUGACGCGUAAUGGCGCAACCAGGAUUUGCAACGAUGGUGGAGGGGGGGGUCCGAACAUAACAAUUACUUAUUAUUUAUUUCAUUGCACAACAAAACACAAACUGUGAAUUUAUCUAUGUUAUAUACUGAAGGUAGAUAAUUUAUUUCAAAUCAAUUUAUGUAUUGUAUUAUUUUUGUAUAUAAAUUGGGGGAAAAAAACACGUAAAUUUGUCAAAUUUAAGAAUUGGACAAUUUCUGGUCCGUUUCAUAUAAUGGCCGAGUGAGUUGCCGGAUUCAUAAAAUGGGCAGACAGUUACUCAUUUCACGAAUUGGACUUUAAAAGUGAUAUCAAUGUUCAUCAUAAACUGUACAACCGGUAUAUUUAGAAAUAUGACUAGAUUACUAUAAAAUAUAAAUACCUACCUCCCGCCAAACUAGUAUAACGACAAUGAAAAUGUAUAUAGGUAUUUAAUAGGCAUACAGAUUAAUGAUUUUUUUGUUGAUCAAUGCAUUUUUAAGAUUAUUAUCUACUACAAAUAUUCAGUUCAAAGUAUAACGUUAUAAUUAUUAAAUCAAUUUAUUUUUUUUUUUUUACACAGUUAAUUACAAUCCAUAAUUUAUUACAAAUAUAUCGUUCGAACAAUUGAUGUUGAAAAUAUUUCUAUGUUACUGAUUUCCUUCGAUUCGUAAAAUGGGAAAUUUAUUAGCCAUCGUUCGCCCGUUCUGUGAAUUGGACAGAUUCACCUCUGGAAUGUCACUUGUUUAAACAACGAUUAAUGAAAUUUGCGCAAUGUUACAACGAUGAAACGCCGUAGUUAUUACGUGCGUCAAAAGAGCCGCGUUAAUGGUUCAAACUUAUGCGGAGUUGUUCGAGACUUUGAUUGACCGUAGCCGGCACGCCUUUGCGUAUAAUACGUUGAACAGGGUCAAUCCGUUUAGUCCGCGUUCCGAGUAUCUUGUGUAUGCUUUAAACUUCGAAAUCGCCAUAGUCAUAAGAGAUAAACUUAAAAUCCAAAUCGAUAUAAAUAUAUACAUGUAUGUUUUCAAUCCGCCCCGGCGGUCGCUCCUAUAAAAACGCGUGUUUUUUGUUUUUUUUUUUCUGUCCGUACGUAUCGCGCGUUAUAAUAUCAAUUGAUAACUGCGCGCAUAGAACCGUAUCGUAAUCAUAACGAAAUAACGAUAUCGGUGAUCGGAACAAACAAGUGUUAGCACGUCCGUUCAAAAGUUUAAUGGGAACCGUUCGUUUCCAUUCGCGUUUCCGCGACGCCGACCGUCGGUAACCGUUGCACCACGGUCGGUCGCGGUGCGCGACGUUCGCGAAUCCACGCGCACAGCCGAUACGCGACGCGGGCGUCACGGUAACGGCGUUGAUGAUAAUUAAUGCGAAACGCGCAGCCGUGCGGUACUGUACGGUACUUGUAACGCGGCAAGUACACCGCGCCCGGUCGGAAUAACGUUCUAUCGCGGCGGGCGACGCGCAAACGGCGUAUCCGAGAAACGGUGUUAAGUCACCGGCGACCUUGCGGACGUUUCCGAACGUGGCGGCGGCGGGUCACGGGCCGCCGCCGCCGGGCGAAAACAAACAAACAAACAAACAAACCGACGACGCGGCGCGUCGGAACGGCGACCGGACGCCGGGCUUGCGUCGCUCGCGAGUGAAUCUGUGUUUUUUGUUUUUUUUUUUCUACGCGUACGCGUAAGACACAGCGGCUUGUACGCGCGAUUUCGAUUAGGUUUUUAACGACGCGAAACGCAACGUUUACACGGGAUGUCGGAGCCGACGCUGCCGCGGGUGUUUGAGGGGGCCCCAUAGCGCGGACCGCGUUUCUGUACGCCGUUUUACGAUUUUGAGCGUAAACUACGGUUCCGGGGUUAUUCCUCGCACCGCCGAGAGGACGUUUUCUCCGCCGAACCGCGCGAAAACGGUUCAAGGAGGGACAUUAUCAUCGCCACUACAUUCUUGUUUUAGUACUAAGGUUUUUUGUUUUCAUAAUAUACGUUUUCGUUUGAAGUGGCACAUUGAUGAAAACGUUUUUCUAAACGUGUACUAGGGCCGAACUCUCCGCUUCUUGACUCCCGAACCCCGAACUUCACCCGCGUAUCGAGCAAAAACUUAAAAACCUGGCUAAGCCCAAGUGCUGCUGGGCUUACCGCCUAAUGCUUAAUGUAUUAUUUUGAACGAUUGGUUAUGAUUUCAAGAGUCAAGACACAAAAUAUAUCCCAAAAUUAAUUGAGAGCAUGCGCGAAUACUGUCCCAUAUCGCGUUGUUCAAAAAAUUUAAAAAAUAUCGUUGACGGUGGUUAUGUAUAAUCCCCCCCCCCUCAGUUCGACGCUUAACGUCAUAUUAUAAUGAAAUUGUAUGACACGCACGACGCGACGAGUUCGUUUACGAUCCGAGUAUUUGGAAAUCGGAAAAAAAAUUUAAUCUGCUUUAAAAACGUAUAGUCCUCGAACUGAUCGCGUGAAUUCCGCGAAAAGUUAAAAAAAAAAAAAAACAUCAAGCUUCCAUUAUACGAAACAGCGCGGUAAUAAAAUAUUAUACAUUUUACGACGUUAUACGCAAAUAAGUCAACUUAGUCAGCCGUGUAUAAUUUUUUUAAUUUUUUUUGUCUGUCUUUAUUUUGCCGAACACUUAGGCGGUGCCUUAGGAAUACCCGGUAGUCUAGCCGAGAUAAAGAAAGACAAUUUAUUAAACUAUACUAAAUCCUUAAAAGUAUGCUACGCCGCGGCAUUUACGGCCGUUUCUGCAGUCUAUUCGGACUUCUAACAGUACUUGAGCUCUGUAAGACUUAUUACAAAAAAAAAAAAACAAACAUUAUUUUAUAAAAUUAAAAACAUUUUAACUACAUAUAUAUGUUUUAAUAGUGGUUUUUUUUUUGUAUUUUCGCGUUUGAAUAUAAAAUACAUAAGUACGAAAACACAAUAUUUUUGCUAUAUUGCUCGCGUUAUAUAGAUAGACAGAGAUGUCCUCUUUUAUAAACAUUAACCGAAUAUCGUUUAAAAAUUGAAUUCAUCGGUUCAUGAAUCAAUAAAUUAAAUUUGACAGCCAACAAAAUGUAUCAAAGGUCACCUAUAAUCGUUCCAAACUGACCCAAUCUAUUUUAACGAUGGCGACGGACGGCCGAAAACCGGCUUUUUUUUCGGAGUUCUUUAUAAAGCGCCUUUUCAGAUGUAUACAAUUGCACUCGUACACCGAUACUAUUGUGUAUGUAAUAUAGGUAGACUCAGCCGCAAAUGUAUUCGAGUAUUAGGUUGUUUUUUUUAAUUCAUACAAAGGAGCCAUCGUUUUAUCCGAAAAUUCGUCCCGUACCAUCGGUUCUAUAUACCUAACAUAGAACCGUUUCUAUUAAAUCACAUGGGAAAAAAAACCGAAAACGUUUUGUUUCACGGUCGUGCAUGGUACCGACGGGACACAGGUACUUAAAUCAUAAUUGUAUUGUAUACGAUUUGAUUGUAUACCUACAAAUACUAUACCUAUAUACCCGCUAAACGGACAUCCAACUGAGGGCGCACACUAAUUGUGAUCCUCGAAUCAUCUUCCGUGAAUUUUCUGAAAAAUAUUACUCGAAUUGUCUCCUAUUUUAGGUAGUUACUUUCUUGUAUGGGAGUCAAUUUCUACUUCGAUUUUUUUAAAACUAAAAACAAUUAUGCAUAGCCAGGUAUUAGGUACACGACUUUAGUAGACAUUUGUACACGAUAUUUGGUAAUAAGUCGAUGUCAAAAAUGCAAAUAGGUAUUGUAUCUAUUGUAUCAAAAUUUCACGGAUUAAAAAUCAAAAAAAAAAAAAAUUUAGACGAAAUAGCAUUAGGUUUUACAGUACCUAUACAACAGUAAUAAAUAGUAAACAAUCAAUAAAUAAAUAUCAUUAUGUUUUGGUCAAAAAUUUAAAUUUAAAUUAGUUAUGUUGUAUGUUUCCAAGGUUUAAAUGUAUUUGUUAUACUUUUAAGUAUUGAAAUUUUGAAAUUUCAUUUCUGUUUAAUUUAUCAAUUAAAGUUUUAUUUUUGAACAUUAGGGAAAUCAAUAUAAUAAUCGAUAGUUCACGUCAACUAUCGAUACAUUAAUUUAUAAUCUAUGUAUGCUAUGGGAGGAAAUUUGAAUGGACGGUUUGAGUAUAUACGAAUUUCCUCCGGAAACAUCCGGAGGCAAUUCGAGUGAAAAAUGGUCACCUACCUGAAUUUGGGAGACAAUCCGAGAGGGUAGAACCCGAUUGCGUACGAUUAAUUAAAUUUAUAAAAUUAAUAAACAAUUAUAAAUUUUUAAUGUUUUCAAAAGUUCACCAUACGUUUUGAAAAAGUUUCUUCCAUUCGUUUCAAUUAAGAUAUAGCACAGGUCGAUGAAUCUGGGAAAGGAGGACAAUUUUUCCGUCUUUUAUCGUACAUUGCUCCCCUUAUCGAUUUUAUAUUUGAAUGUGGCAUUUCAAAAUCUGUUACCGUCAACUCGGUUAUGAUUAUUUUCGACGGCCUAAUUGAUGUUAAUUCAUUUGAUUUGCGUUUGCAAUUUUCUCAUAAAAUUUGACGUUCGAUUUUCUCUGUUGUAUUUAAUACAUGAUUGUGCUCGCCCAACGUAAAUAUUACUUUUGAACGGCCACUGUCUGUUAAUAUACUGGCACACCAUGUCCUGUAUGCACACAACUAUUUAAUUUGUCCGUUUUUUCGUUGGCGUAUAAAACGAUAUUUGUUUGUACCAAUUAAUGCCAAAUCUUUUCCACGUUCUGACGUAAUUAUUUUAACUGUUUCAUUUUCCAUGUUUUCCAUUUGAAACUACACUCAAUUCAAAACUAUACAAUAAACUGAAUAUAAUACGCUCGAUCUGCGCGGUCGUCGGUCAACUAAUAAAAUAUACAGUGAUUAUAAGUAAUGUGAACUUUUAUUUUAAAUUUGAUAUCAUUUCUAGUUUCGUCUGUAAUUUCCCGGCAUGACAAUUUUGCAUAAAAUUAACGUACGCAAUUGUGUUUUAAAAAAGUUUGAAUAAGUCGCAACCGUACUCUAUCUAUUCGAGAGUACCCCCUGUCCGAUCGACCGACCCUCACACGGUGCAAAGCGCACGGCGGUCAGGUCUAUCGGGAUAGAAAAGAAUAAUUACAAACGUACGGCAAUAUUCUUAAUGCUUCUUUAUCGUCAGCUUAAUUCCGCUGUCGCUUAAUAUCAGGUGUAUUCGGUAUGUAGGCGGGUAACGAAUUUCCGGCACUUCAAACAUGUAGGUAUGACGAUUCAUCGGUUGGUAAUUUAAUUCGUCACAAUAUAACGGAAUUGUGCAUAGUAAAAAUAUUAAAAAAUGAAAUCAGUUGUACGAAAUAUGUGUCAUAUACCGAUACACGUGAUCUAUAUAUUAUGCAAUUAAGGAUUCGUACAUACCUGAACGAUUGUAUAACUGCAGCUGCUGCACACGUGAGCAUUUUUAUACGAUUAUAAUAUACUCUUAUCCCACCCGAUACACGAUUGUAGGUAUUUAUAUUGUACUUACUCAGCUACAUAAUCAGCUAAUCGUAUUAAACACAACUUUUUACUAGACGUUUUGAAAAUACAAUCGGCAAAACCUAAUCAAAAAAAGUGUCUUAGAAUAAUGGGGACGGGUGCAGCCAUUGUUGUAAGUGAAAAGUUGGGAAGGUAGGAUAUAGACUGGAACUUAAUGUAUAUAUGUAAGCAACGAUUAACCAUUGCUAACGAAAAAACGAUUCUGAGCGGAGUUCAGUUGAUAGUAUUGUUUCGUCAACAAUAUAUAAGUCAUAUAAUAGUAAAAUAAUUGCAUAUGCAUUAAACAUUUUCUUUAAUAAUAUUUGUUUAAUAUUGUACUUAUUUUCUCAACCUCUCGGUAUUCUCAUAAUUUUUUCCCAAACUCCUGGGCAAAUCAAAAAAUGACCUCUUUAAAGUACCUCCCUAGUCAGGUUUAUAAUAUCAAAGCUAUAACUACGCUUGAGAAUUAUAAAAAUCAAAAUUUUAAUAUGUACAAAAUUCAACCAAAAAAAUUGGAUGAGUAUGCUUAGUAAAUCAUCUUGUAUGUAUACUAUUUGCAUACUGAGGAACUAAGGAAGCAUAGCUCCCACAAAUUUUCAAUAAAUCUUAAAUUAUUGUUUUAAAUAUAGUUUUUUUUUUUCAAAGAUAAUUUGCCUUACGUUGUAAUUUGAUAUGUAACUGAUCAGCUCCUCUCGAAAACAAAUCCAGGAUACGCCCCCCGAUAGGUACAGCAUUUCCUGUGAUUUUCGACCGUUUUUCCCAAGUGCCGGCCGUCAAAACUUAAAUUAGUUAUUUCAAGUAUAUACGAAUUUUUAAUACGAAGAUCUGACAUCUGAAAUAACUUUUGUUCCAUUCAAUAUUUUUUUAAGGUUUUUUUGUUGUAAUAAUUGUUACUAGAACUUUGCGCUAUAAUUUCUCUGUUUUUAAUUUGUAUUUAUUUUUUUAAAACAAAACUAAAAACAAACAAUUUUAAUUUUAAAACGAAAUAGUUUUUACAUAAUUUAAGAUGGCCUUUAGAAAGAAAAAUAUCGAAGCAAAAUUCUGGUGUUACAAAUAUUUGAUAAUGAUGAAUUGGAUAUUUUAAAGUUUACGAAUUUUUAUAUUGUUUUUAUUGUCACUAUAAUACUAAAUAAUGUUCAUCAAUUUGUACAUCAUAAAACAUUAAUUUUUAAUAUUUUCUUUUGUUACCUUCAAAAAAUUGUAGAAACUUAACGGAUUAUUAUUAGUAAAUAUUUUUGAACGUCUUAAUUUAGUUUCAAAAUAUAUUUAUACGCUGGCAAUAUUAGAUUUCCUAAAAAAAAACAUUUUCUGUUGUUAGCUUUUUAAUAAAUAAAAAAAAAGAAAAAAAAAAGAGAGGAAUCAUAUAGAACCGGGCUAUAGUAAUUACUACGAGAGAAAUAUAAACUUAGUAUUAUUUCGAGCGUCGGAUCUUCGCGUUGCAGUUCGUAUAUACGUGUAUUUUUACAAGCUGUAUUUUAUUGACUUCCAAUAUUAGUAUCGUCGUCGACACGACAAUAUACGCUUAUUAAAUUCUUUUAUACGCCCAUAAGAAUUAUACGCGUAUUAUGACUGGCGCGUCGAAUAA
rnacentral:lncRNA from 1 species